rnacentral:snRNA from 1 species
AUCGCUUCUCGGCCUUUUGGCUAAGAUCAAGUGUAGUAUCACUAUGAUUUCAGGCAUUCUUUGACAUACACUGCUCUUGCUACUGUUUUGGGAGCUUGGAUAAAUUUAAUAAACUCUCAGAGAAUAUCUGAGAGAUCAUCUAUGUGAUAUAAACGGU